UUACCUACGGGGCGCAGCAGUGGGGAAUAUUGCGCAAUGGGGGCAACCCUGACGCAGCAACGCCGCGUGAUUGAAGAAGGCCUUCGGGUUGUAAAGAUCUUUAAUCGGGGACGAAUUUUGACGGUACCCGAAGAAUAAGCAUCGGCUAACUCCGUGCCAGCAGCCGCGGUAAUACGGAGGAUGCGAGCGUUAUCCGGAUUUAUUGGGUUUAAAGGGUGCGUAGGCGGAUUUUUAAGUCAGCGGUAAAAUGUCCGGGCUCAACCCGGGCCGGCCGUUGCAACUGGGGAUCUUGAGUGGGCGAGAAG
rnacentral:rRNA from 1 species